rnacentral:misc_RNA from 1 species
UGUUUUGCUUGAAGUGUUCUGAAAAUAAAGUCCUUUGGUUAGGAUCACCAAAGGCAACGUCUAGUCAGAUGUCUGUAUGGCUUUGCUGUACGGGAGCGCCGUCAACAUAUCCCUUUCUGCGAUAAGGUCUCUUGCUUGAGACUGCUUUUUAAGCGGUCUUUUGAGUGAGAGAUGGGUUUUGGGCUAGUAGCUCAGUUGGUUAGAGCACACGCUUGAUAAGCGUGGGGUCGGAGGUUCAAGUCCUCCCUGGCCCACCACUGGCCGACUACAUUUUGUUUUAUGUAGUCAUUCUGGUUUUUGGGGGCAUAGCUCAGCUGGGAGAGCACCUGCUUUGCAAGCAGGGGGUCGUCGGUUCGAACCCGUCUGCCUCCACCAAGACCGGCUUUUGGUGUUGAGACAAAAUCCUUAUCGCUAGGGAGUGUAGGAAUUGGACGCUUCGUUGUGGUGACUGCGGUGCAGCGCCAUGGUGAUGCUGUUCGAUAGAUGAUCUUUGUCAGUGUGAAUCGGUUGGUGCGUAUCUGGGCGUGCCGUUUACUGUGGGUUGGUCUGACCCUCAGGCUUCGUAAGUUUUUACGAACCUGUGUUAAGCAGUAUCGGCGCGAGCGUUCAGAUGCGUUUUAAGAUGAAUGUGUGACGUACUCGGAUGAUCGUCAUGCGGAAGUCUUCUGCA